AUAUAUGUGAUCUGUCGUUGACUGAAACAUCUUUAUGUGACACAUGAUUGCAGAAUCAGAAAUCUGCUCUCCAGGAGAUGAAACUGUGGAAGAAGAGAUGAGCUAUGAGGACAGCCUCAUUUCCAGGGAUGGGGAAAGAAAACCUGCAACUGCCUGCAAAGGGGUUAGAGAGUGCUGGUGUCUUCUCAGGGAAGGCUGAACACCGCCCUUCUCAGGAAAGACUUAGAAUCGGUCCAACCUACAGAAAACCACAAGCAGCCACGGGGCAAGAGUCUUACACCCAACCGAAAAUAAACAGAGUCAGUACCUCGUGGGAGAAUCUCACUUUAGAGGGUCAACAGUGUUACACGUCACAUUUCUGCUUGUGGCAUUUUUUAAAAUCUCUGGAUUAGAGUAGCAUCCCCUGCACAGGAGUCAAAGAUGUGAGGAUUUUUAAAAAGAGAGACAUGAGCUUUG